ensembl:miRNA MIR138-2 microRNA 138-2
CCCAGAGGAGGAAGCCGGCGGAGUUCUGGUAUCGUUGCUGCAGCUGGUGUUGUGAAUCAGGCCGACGAGCAGCGCAUCCUCUUACCCGGCUAUUUCACGACACCAGGGUUGCAUCAUACCCAUCCUCUCCAGGCGAGCCUCGUGGG